rnacentral:rRNA from 1 species
UACGUAGGGUGCGAGCGUUGUCCGGAAUUAUUGGGCGUAAAGAGCUUGUAGGUGGUUUGUCGCGUCUGCUGUGAAAAUCCGAGGCUCAACCUCGGACUUGCAGUGGGUACGGGCAGACUAGAGUGUGGUAGGGGAGACUGGAAUUCCUGGUGUAGCGGUGAAAUGCGCAGAUAUCAGGAAGAACACCCGUGGCUAAGGCGGCUCUCUAGUACGGUACUGACGCUGAGACGCGAAAGCGUGGGGAGCGAACAGG